rnacentral:rRNA from 1 species
UAGGCAAGAUCUAGUAUCGCGGCGGAUGGGUGAGUAACGCGUGGGUAACCUGCCCUUAAGUCUGUACUACCAUUUGGAAACAGAUGCUAAUACCGGAUACUAAAGGAUGGACCUGCGAUGCAUUAGCUAGUUGGUAAGGUAACGGCGUACCAAGUCGAUGAUGAAUAGCAGAGUUGAGAGACUGAGCGGCCACAUUGGGACUGAGACACGGCACAAACUCCUACGGGAGGCAGCAGUAGGGAAUCUUACACAAUGGACGAAAGUCGGAUGGAGCAACGCCGCGUGAGUGAAGAAGGUUUGCGGAGCGUAAAGCUCUGUUGUUGGUGAAGCGGUAAUCAACCAGAAAGUCACGGCUAACUACGUGCCAGCAGACGAGGGAAUUA